UCACCUGUGAAUAUUGCCAGAAGUGGUUCUUUGGGAAGACUGACUAUGUACGCCAUGUUCGAAUACACACGGGAGAAAAGCCGUUUGAAUGCAGCGUGUGUCACAAACGGUUCACCCAGAGAGGGAACCUAAGAAGUCACAGUGUAGUCCACCUAGAUAACAAAUGAGCAACGUCCCGAAACUGGGGUCAAUGUGUGCGUAAAGUGUUCUCCAAGAGUAGCCUGUGCAGUUGGCAUAAAUAACAAAUAAUAAUUCUACAUCUGAGCACUGGGAAAACUGGGCUUCAUGUGUGUGCGUAAAGUGUUGUCCCAGAUAAGCCUGUGCAGUCAGCAAAGGCUUAUCAGGGAGUACACUUUUGACUUUUAUUGUUUUUAUGCCCCCGUAUUGAAUGAUCGGGGGUAUAUUGUUUUGGGCCUGUUUGUCUGUCAUUGUAUGUGUGUGUCUGUCUGUCUGUCUGUCUGUCGCAAAACUUUAACCUUGGUCAUAAUUUUUGCAAUAUUGAAGAUAGCAACUUGAUAUUUGGCAUGCAUAUGUAUCUCAUUAAGCUGCACAUUUCGAGUGGUGAAAGGUAAAGGUCAUCCUUCAAGGUCAAAGGUCUUUUUUUAUAAAUGGCUGCCAUGCGGCUUCAAAGCGGCACAGCAGGAGGCAUUGUGUUUCACAAACACAGCUUUAGUUGGUUUUUAAAAGGAGUCUCUUCUUGGCAAAAAUUCAGUUUAAGCCAAAAGUGUUGUCCCUGAUUUGCCUGCAUUAGCUAAUCUAGGACAAUGCUUUAGGCACAUGGUUUAAAAAGAAGGAAGCUGAUCUGAGAACAGUCAAGAAAUGCUCUGGAUGAAGAAUGAAAGCCAGUGCAGUCUGCACAGUCUUAUCAGUGAUGACAGUUACUGCCUAGGCUGAAUUGUUGUUGAGAAGAGCCUUCUUUAAAAAAAAAAAAUCCAUUAAAGCAGAAAGUGUUGUAUAUAUGAUUAGCCUUUGCGGACUGCCCAAGCUAAUAUGGGAGAACUCUUUAGGCAGAUGCCCAAGCUAAUAUGGGAGAACUCUUUACCCACAUGCACAAUUCUAAUAUGGGAGAACUCUUUAGGUAGAUGCACAAGUCUAAUAUGGGAGAACUCUUUAGGCAGAUGCACAAUUCUAAUAUGGGAGAACUCUUUAGGCAGAUGCAAUAAGUCUAAUAUGGGAGAACUCUUUAGGCAGAUGCAAUAAGUCUUAUAUGGGAGAACUCUUUAGGAAGAUGGACAAGUCUAAUAUGGGAGAACUCUUUAGGCAGAUGCACAAGUCUAAUAUGGGAGAACUCUUUAGGCAGAUGCAAUAAGUCUAAUAUGGGAGAACUCUUUAGGCAGAUGCAAUAAGUCUAAUAUUGGAGAACUCUUUAGGCAGAUGCAAUAGGUCUAAUAUUGGAGAACUCUUAAGGCAGAUGGACAAGUCUAAUAAGGGAGAACUCUUUAGGCAGAUGCACAAGUCUAAUAUGGGAGAACUCUUUAGGCAGAUGCCCAAGCUAAUAUGGGAGAACUCUUUAGGCAGAUGCAAUAGGUCUAAUAUUGGAGAACUCUUUAGGUAGAUGCACACGUCUAAUAUGGGAGAACUCUUUAGGCAGAUGCAAUAAGUCUAAUAUGGGAGAACUCUUUAGGCAGAUGCCCAAGCUAAUAUGGGAGAACUCUUUACCCACAUGCACAAAUCUAAUAUGGGAGAACUCUUUAGGCAGAUGCCCAAGCUAAUAUGGGAGAACUCUUUACCCACAUGCACAAAUCUAAUAUGGGAGAACUCUUUAGGCAGAUGCCCAAGCUAAUAUGGGAGAACUCUUUACCCACAUGCACAAAUCUAAUAUGGGAGAACUCUUUAGGUAGAUGCACAAGUCUAAUAUGGGAGAACUCUUUAGGCUGAUGCAAUAGGUCUAAUAUGGGAGAACUCUUUAGGCAGAUGCACAAGUCUAAUAUGGGAGAACUCUUUAGGCAGAUGCAAGAAGGCGACCUUUUUACCCACAUGCAUAAGUCCUGUUUUCCCAGAGGGAGACUCGUACAUUUAAACAAUGUAAGACACAUCAUCAGGUGUAUCACUGUGUUACACAUCUCAAUAUGAUUAUUUUCAAUAAAGCUAAUUGUCUCAAACUUUAUGAAACACUUUAUAGCUAUUUUUUUUAUGAAAUCUCUUUAAAUUAAUUAUUACUGGUAGUGUCUAGUGUCAGCUCUGGUAGUGUGUAUUCAUCUUAGAUUGUAUAAUACCAUAAGUAUAUCAUAGUAUACAAUAAAAAUGUGUGAUAUCAUC